rnacentral:rRNA from 1 species
AUUGAACGCUGGCGGCAGGCCUAACACAUGCAAGUCGAGCGAGCGGAGGACGGGUGCGUAAUGUAUGGGGACUGCCUGAUCGAGGGGGCUAACUCCUGGAAACGGUGGCUAAUACCGCAUACUAUCGGAUAACCCAUAUGGGAUUAGCUCUUCGGUGGGGUAAAGGCUCACCUAGGCGACGAUCUAUAGCUGGUCUGAGAGGAUGAUCAGCCACACUGGGACUGAGACACGGCCCAGACUCCUACGGAGGCAGCAGUGGGGAAUAUUGCACAAUGGGCGCAAGCCUGAUGCAGCCAUGCCGCGUGUAUGAAGAAGGCCUUAGGGUUGUAAAGUACUGUCAGCGGAGAGGCGUUACCCGCAGAAGAAGCACCGGCUAACUCCGUGCCAGCAGCCGCGGUAAUAC